UAGGGAAUCUUGGUCAAUGGGCGCAAGCCUGAACCAGCCAUGCCGCGUGUGCGAAGAAGGCCCUAGGGUUGUAAAGCACUUUCAGUCGCGAAGAAAAUCUUGAGAUUAAUAAUCUCAGGUCUUGACGUUAACGACAGAAGAAGCACCGGCUAACUCCGUGCCAGCAGCCGCGGUAAUACGGAGGGUGCGAACGUUAAUCGGAAUUACUGGGCGUAAAGCGCGCGUAGGCGGCUUGUUAAGUGGGAUGUGAAAGCCCCGGGCUUAACCUGGGAACUGCAUUCCAAACUGGCAAGCUAGAGUAUGGUAGAGGGAGGUAGAAUUUCCUGUGUAGCGGUGAAAUGCGUAGAUAUAGGAAGGAAUACCAAUGGCGAAGGCAGCCUCCUGGACCAAUACUGACGCUGAGGUGCGAAAGCGUGGGGAGCAAACAGG
rnacentral:rRNA from 1 species